UGCAUCGGCCUGGAAUCGAACCCUGGCCGCCCGCGUGGCAGGCGAGCAUUCUACCACUGAACCACCAUUGC
rnacentral:tRNA from 1 species